UCUCGUCCGGACGCGCUCCUCCUCCAGAUCCGGGAAAGUGGCAAGACUUCCGGUCUUGUUUACAGCGAAAGCCGGAAGUGGCUGCGAGCGAAUCGGCGUUUGCUGAGGCUGCUAGUUUAGAGUGUUUGCGCUGGUAGCUGCUCUUGGCACGAAAGAUGCCGAGUGUGGCGGCUGCAAGCACCGCUCCGUCCGAGUCUCAGGAAAAGAAGCCGCUGAAGCCCUGCUGCGCCUGCCCAGAGACCAAGAAGGCGCGCGAUGCGUGUAUCAUCGAGAAAGGAGAAGAACACUGUGGACCCCUAAUUGAGGCCCACAAGGAGUGUAUGAGAGCCCUUGGAUUUAAGAUAUGAAAUGGUCUUCGUACCCAGAGAUAAACCAGAGAGGCUUACAUUCAGGAUUUUUUUGCCAGGUUCCCUGCUGUGUGAAUAUGUAAUUACUGAAGAAUGGAGAAGACUAAAUAAUAUUGGGAGUUCUUUGAUGAGCUUUAAUAAAUGGAAAAAGUAUUUAUAAUUUAUUAAAAAGAGGAAAAUAUCCCUGGU